UACGUAGGGGGCUAGCGUUGUCCGGAUUUAUUGGGCGUAAAGAGCGUGUAGGCGGCCAGGUAGGUCGGUUGUGAAAACUGGAGGCUCAACCUUCAGAGGUCGACCGAAACCAUCUGGCUAGAGUCCGGGAGAGGAGAGUGGAAUUCCUGGUGUAGCGGUGAAAUGCGCAGAUAUCAGGAGGAACACCGAUGGCGAAGGCAGGUCUCUGGGCAUUAACUGACGCUGAGGAGCGAAAGCAUGGGGAGCGAACAGG
rnacentral:rRNA from 1 species